GGGAGCUUGGCUCAGUCGGAAGAGCGCAGGUCUCAUAAUCCUGAGGUCGUGAGUUCGAGCCUCACAGUUCCCA
rnacentral:tRNA from 1 species